rnacentral:rRNA from 1 species
UACGUAGGGGGCAAGCGUUAUCCGGAUUCACUGGGUGUAAAGGGAGCGUAGACGGCCAAGCAAGCCUGGAGUGAAAGCCCGGGGCCCAACCCCGGGACUGCUCUGGGAACUGUGCGGCUGGAGUGCGGGAGGGGCAGGCGGAAUUCCUGGUGUAGCGGUGAAAUGCGUAGAUAUCAGGAGGAACACCGGCGGCGAAGGCGGCCUGCUGGACCGCGACUGACGUUGAGGCUCGAAAGCGUGGGGAGCAAACAGG